rnacentral:rRNA from 1 species
UAGGGAAUCUUCCGCAAUGGACGAAAGUCUGACGGAGCAACGCCGCGUGAGUGAUGAAGGUUUUCGGAUCGUAAAGCUCUGUUGCCAGGGAAGAACGAGUGGGAGAGUAACUGCUCUUGCUAUGACGGUACCUGAGAAGAAAGCCCCGGCUAACUACGUGCCAGCAGCCGCGGUAAUACGUAGGGGGCAAGCGUUGUCCGGAAUUAUUGGGCGUAAAGCGCGCGCAGGCGGCUUGGAAAGUCGGGUGUUUAAGCUCGGGGCUCAACCCCGAUACGCACCCGAAACUGCCAGGCUUGAGUGCAGAAGAGGAAAGUGGAAUUCCACGUGUAGCGGUGAAAUGCGUAGAGAUGUGGAGGAACACCAGUGGCGAAGGCGACUUUCUGGGCUGUAACUGACGCUGAGGCGCGAAAGCGUGGGGAGCAAACA